GUGGCUGUAGCUCAGUUGGUUAGAGCGUCGGAUUGUGAUUCCGAAGGUCGGGGGUUCGAGACCCCUCAGCCACC
rnacentral:tRNA from 2 species